AUUAACGAAUGUAGGUAUUUAUUUACGUAUGUUUUUAUUUUUAUUUGGAAAUGCAAUUUAUGUGGAAAAUUGUUAAGUUGAUUUCAACCACUCAACGCCACUCUGAUUUGCUGAGACCGCACGUCAUCAUAAACUCCACUCUGAUAUGCCGAGGCAAAACACGCUAAACAUUUUUUGGCUGCUGCAGUAGCUCAGCUCAGCUCAGCUCAGCUCAUUCAGUUCAGCUCGCUCAGCUCAGCUCCGCUCCGGACCGGACUCAGCUGCCAAGCUAUAAGAUGGAGUCAUGAAAUGUGACGGGACAGCCACCGAGGACUUCAUACUUCGGAGCAUCUCAAACAUGCACCACAAAGACGUGGAGGACACACCGCUGUCUCUCAGGACCUAGAAUCUUAAUGAAAGUAUAAUGAUGUUAAGGGAAGGUGUAAUGGAAAGUUGUAAUGGUGUUAAGGGAAGGUGUAGUGGAAAGGUGUGAUAGUGUUGAGGGAAGGUGUAAUGUUAAAGGUGUGAUAGUGUUGAGGGAAGGUGUAAUAGUGUUGAGGGAAGGGGUAAUGUUAAAGGUGUAAUAGUGUUGAGGGAAGGUGUAAUGUUAAAGGUGUAAUAGUGUUGAGGGAAGGGGUAAUGUUAAAGGUGUAAUAGUGUUGAGGGAAGGUGUAAUGUUAAAGGUGUAAUAGUGUUAAGGGAAGGUAUAAUAUUGUUAAGGGAAGGUGUAAUAGUGUUGAGGGAAGGUAUAAUAUUGUUAAGGGAAGGUGUAAUGUAAAGGUGUAAUAGUGUUGAGGGAAGGUAUAAUAUUGUUAAGGGAAGGUGUAAUGUAAAGGUGUAAUAGUGUUGAGGGAAGGUAUAAUAUUGUUAAGGGAAGGUGUAAUGUAAAGGUGUAAUAGUGUUGAGGGAAGGUAUAAUAUUGUUAAGGGAAGGUGUAAUGUAAAGCUGUAAUAGUUUUAAGGGAAGGUAAAUGUUUAGUGAAAUUGUUAUGGUGUGAAUCUAAGGUGUAUGUUAUGUUGAUGUAAAAUAAAGGCAUUAACCCCAAA